rnacentral:lncRNA from 1 species
AGGCAGGCAGGUACAAGCUGAAUUAUCUCUGGCAAUGAGCACAGAUGAGUUGUGUCAUUGGGGCAUGCAGGAGGAGGCUGUUCUAGGCCACUGCUGCCUCUGGCUGACCCAUGGUCUGGUGGUUGAUGUCCUGGCAGCCCUCGUGUCGCAUGGGGAGAGCAGUCGAGCGCGUGGUAGGAGGGUGACAGCCAGAAUUCUCGUUGUUACCUAGUGUUGGUUUCUUUUUUUAAUGCUAUACAUUUGAUAUAACUGAAGAUCAAUUUUAAGAGCUUACAGUAAUAUAUUUUAAGUAAUAUAUAUUUUAGUAUCUGUAAAAAAAAUGGACAAAGGAAGAUUUAUGAACUAAAUGCACAGGGUAUUGGGAGUCAGCAGUUUCCCAGCAAGGCCAGGAAUAGUUUUACUAGCAGGAAAACUGACAAGAUUCAUUUUUUUUUUCCACUAAUGCAAUAAAAAUGGGAAUUCUUAAAAAGAAGAACUCCAAUGCUGUUUACCACAUGCGUUUCUUGUUUUGACAACAGGCCUGUAAACGCAGAAGAUACUAAACCUUUGUCUCUCUUUUGCCUUUUUAAAAGGGACUUAAAUUGGAAUAGAGGGUAUGUACAGAAAAAUCAAGUUGACACCAUUUUAAAAUGUAUUUUUACACAAAUAAUAUAGAAAAAAUCAUAUUUUACAUAAGAAUUUUAAGUAUUUGAAAUAUGUAUAUAUAUACUGUAUGUACUUCAUAUAUUCUUUAUUUUACAUUUUCAAUGUAUUAAAAAGUAUUUGAGCUGUUGGAUUUGAGCAUGUAGUAAUGUUUAAAAAACAAAGGAAAAGCAGAAAAGAGGGAGAGAGGAGGGACAUGCUGCCCUGCGCAGCAGCAGCCACGGGGUAGCGCAGGAACCAGGAGUGCCUGAGCAACUGAGUUUUGGAAGAGUUUGGCAGUUCUGGAUCGAGCACACAGACCAGUUUUCAGUCCUGUGUCCUGUUUGCAUUCAUUUUGCCCCAUAACCACCCCAAAUGACCUAUGGGGAGAAGACAAGGUGUUGAGGUGGAUCUUUUACCCAAGCAAUGCUACUGUUCUAGCCAAAGAGGCGUACUGCUACAGAAGCUACUCAACCAAAACAAAAUCAAAGCUAUUCAGUUUUGCUCUGCCACCGAGAUUUUAACAAACAGCUUGAUUUCUGAUGCGAGCAUCUUAUGAUGCUUAUGGGAAAUUCAAGCAAUAUACCAAAAGUCCAACGAUUUCAAGGAAACACUAUCAAAGCAGAUGUAGUUAUUUUCUUAGUUUGUAGGAAUUUGGGUGAGAAUCUCCCUGUAGAGGAUGCAGCAUCUUUGCAGCUAUUAGAAAUGGAGGGGAUUCUCAUCACGAGUGGGAUCCUCGAGCCACUGCCCUUGUGUAGCAAUGCAGAGGGCAGCUGGAGAGCAGGUCAGGCAGACCAGCAGCUCAUGGAGCUGUCAGGAUUGGGCCCAGAUACACAGUGCCACGUAUUGCCAGUGAUGCAGCGGUUUCCCGGCCUCCUGGUACUCUGUUAAACAGCAGAUACCGCUUGUUCUCUACGUACCGUUUCUGACAGAUGAGGAGAGCUGCAGUCCUGUGGUUGCUGGCCCAGUUCUGCAGCUCCAGAGACAAAGAGUACAGAUCCCUGCUGAGGGAAAGGGGGAAGCGGCUCAUCAGCACAGGCAGUGCAGCGCACUUGACUCAUCCCUUUUCCGUAAUGCCUUUUGGCUUAGAUAAAUCUCAAAUUACAUUUACUUCCACUUUCUCCAGCAAACAACUGCAGGAAUCCUGUGUAUAAACUGGAGAUGUUGAUAGCAGUCCUGUAUUGCUGGGACUGACAGGGAAGGAAACUGGAUCUGGGAAAAGAAAAGGUGUUAACCAGUCAAGUUUUAAAAGUACAAAUCUGAAACCUGAAAAGGCAGGCAACUGGGAUUUUUAUACUGCUUCAGUUAUUAUUGGAACCUUUUUAAAAGCAAACCACGGCACCCAGUGCUUUGUCAAAACUUGCUCUGGACACACAGAGGGGCCUUCCACUCUAGAACAGUUGCACUAUAAGAAAGUCCCGCUGUUUAGGGGGUGUAUAUAUGCGGAGUUGGGGGGGGCUGUGCAGGUGUGUCCAUAGUACACACAGCUAUGUUUUAGCUAGGUGUACCUGGUCAGACCAGCUUCAUCUCAGUCUUCUGGUGACAUCAUACCUUGCAAAGUCACCACAGACCUGAGACAGAAUUACAGCUUUUGUAUUUGUUUUCGUAUUUAAGAUAUAUGAGUUAGAAAGAAUAUAUAAUAGCAAUGUGUUUUGAUCUGCUGCACUUUUGAAAAAAAAAACAACAUUCCUUAUUCCCCUGGUACUGCUGCAUCUCCCAUCCCUUCCCCAAUUUAAACCAAUUUAAACUUUAAACAAUUUAAACUUAAACCCAACUGGUCUCCUGUACCUUUCAGUUAAGACCUCUCAGCUGCUGCAUUAUUGGAAAAGCUGGGCCAAGAGUGUCCCUUUGGGAGGACAGGCCUCUGGGAUCCUUGGGGCCAAUUCCAGGGCCAUCACCAGGAAUGCAAACCACCAGGAAAUGAAUACGCCUGGUGAAACACUCCCGCUGCAGUGUGUGCAGUGGAGUGUUUCCCAGGAUUUUAACCCUACCGGUAGCUGAGACAGGACAGGCAUUACCUUGAACCUCAGGGACAGAGGUUUCAGUAACGAUUUUUUCCUCUGAUGUCUAGAGGUGCACCAAGGAUGCACCCACAAACACCCGACUUCGCUGGAUUUACAGCACUUUCUGUUGCCGUAAAUCUCCUGUGCAAUUGUAUCACAGUCCGUUUGUAAAGUCAGGUUUGAGUAAGACAGGUUUGUGUGGAAAAAAGAAAGCAAUCGUAGUUCAGUACGGUAACUUCCAGGCAUUGAAAAUCAGCACGGGCCAGUUCCAGCGAAGGAGCAAUGCAUCAGGGACAAAGAUGGUCUGUCAUGCUGCAGCUAUGCAUUUUGGCAAAGGUUGUUUUGUCAAGGUUUUCACUCAUUUUGCUGUAUGAUUCCACCUUAGCUUCUCACCAGCAUUAAGAGGGAUCUGAAGAGUGCUAGAAACAGCUUCUGUCUAACCUGUCACUUGAAGAUCUGCGUGCCCUUAGGAGGCAGCACUUUGACAAGCAACAGCCUGCCCUGUGGCUUACGUCUUAACUGCGAUUCUGUUCCUCUCACUUCUUUUUGUCAUGUAAAACUACCUGCUUUAUAAAUGAAUGUAAAAUACAGUAGUUCUUCAGCACAUGGACAAACGUGUAUUUUAUCUUAAUGUUUCAUUUUAUGUUAAAUAAAAAGCAUAUGAUU